GGGGCCGUAGUUUAGCUUGGUAGAAUGCGGGGCUCGGGUCCCCGUGGUCCGGGGUUCAAAUCCCCGCGGCCCCACCA
rnacentral:tRNA from 1 species